rnacentral:rRNA from 1 species
UACAGAGGGUGCAAGCGUUGUUCGGAAUUAUUGGGCGUAAAGGGCGCGUAGGCGGUGCGGUAAGUCUGUAGUGAAAUCUCUGGGCUCAACUCAGAGUCUGCUAUAGAAACUGCCGUGCUCGAGUGUGGGAGAGGUGAGUGGAAUUCCCGGUGUAGCGGUGAAAUGCGUAGAUAUCAAGAGGAACACCUGAGGUGAAGACGGGUUGCUGGGCUGACACUGACGCUGAGGCGCGAAAGCCAGGGGAGCAAACAGG